UCAGAUGGCCGGGUGGCCGCGGAACGUUGCGCAAGAAGCGUGUCGAGGAAAGUCCGGGCUCCACGGAGACACGGUGCCGGAUAACGUCCGGCGGGGGCGACCCCAGGGAUAGCGCCACAGAAAUGACACCGCCUACCGGCCUAAAGCCGCGGCAAGGUUGAAAUGGUGCGGUAAGAGCGCACCGCGUUCCUGGCAACAGGAGUGGCACGGCAAGCCCCACCGGGAGCAAGACCAAAUAGGGACGGCACGUAAUCCGUUUCCGGAUAGCCGUCCGGGUAGGUCGCGCGAGGUGUGUGGCGACACACAUCCCAGAGGAAUGGCCAUCACCUCAGCAAUGAGGAACAGAACCCGGCUUACAGGCCAUCUGACGCG
rnacentral:RNase_P_RNA from 1 species